rnacentral:rRNA from 1 species
GUUGAACGCUGGCGGCGUGCCUAAUACAUGCAAGUCGAGCGAACAGACGAGGAGCUUGCUCCUCUGACGUUAGCGGCGGACGGGUGAGUAACACGUGGAUAACUUACCUAUAAGACUGGGAUAACUUCGGGAAACCGGAGCUAAUACCGGACAAUAUAUUGAACCGCAUGGUUCAAUAGUGAAAGACGGUUUUGCUGUCACUUAUAGAUGGAUCCGCGCCGCAUUAGCUAGUUGGUAAGGUAACGGCUUACCAAGGCAACGAUGCGUAGCUGACCUGAGAGGGUGAUCGGUCACACUGGAACUGAGACACGGUCCAGACUCCUACGGGAGGCAGCAGUAGGGAAUCUUCCGCAAUGGGCGAAAGCUUGACGGAGCAACGCCGCGUGAGUGAUGAAGGUCUUCGGAUCGUAAAACUCUGUUAUUAGGGAAGAACAAAUGUGUAAGUAACUAUGCACGUCUUGACGGUACCUAAUCAGAAAGCCACGGCUAACUACGUG